AGGGUAAUUAAUCACUAUAGCAACAAACAAGGGAGCUGAGGAAAGGAGCCUAACACAGGAACGAUGGGAACAGAAAAUAACAUUUCAGUUCAUUUUUAGUCCAUCUCUGCAAGAUUUUCAGGAUUUUCAGGAUAGGAGAUAGACUAAAAAUGAACGGCCAAAACUUGCUGCCGGAUGAAUUCUUCAAACAGAGGUUCAAGAGGAUGUGCUGCUGGAUUCUUUACCUCGUCUCUGAGAUCCUGACAGCUGGCACUUCUGGAGACUCCAAGACCGAGGCCGGCUCUUCUCCCCCUCACUCUCUCUGUGAGCCAUAAGCAAUGGAGGCAAUUUAGCUAGAACUCCAGUGUAUUGAUCAAACCCCAGUGAAAUAAAUAAGCUGCCAGACUCGUGCCAAUCACAGCUGACAGCGUAUGAGGAGCUGGACCUGUUCUCCAUGUCACAUCUCACAGCAAUAAAUAAGAAGAGAAAUAAAGAAAUAAAAUCACGCUCUGUUGCUUUCAAUCUCAGACAAAGCCAGUCUGAAAAGCGUGGAUGUAUCGAUACAGUUAUGAGACUCAUCCUUCACUGAGCUUAUGAAAUAAAUGCAAUAAUUGCUCAUGCUGGAAGUUCAUUUAUAUGAUAUCCUAGUUAAUGCAUUUGCUUUUUAGAAGACUUACAGUUACACUCU